CAGCAGACGAGCCCCCAGAUGCCUACGGCCAGGCAGCCCAGCGCGAGCAGAGAGCCCAGGACGAUGCCGAUGAUCACGCCUAUACGCCGGGAGUCUGUGGAGAGAAGUGGAGGCAGGUCAGGCUUUCUCACAGCCUGCUCCAGGCCAAGAGAACAACAGCUCAUUCCUGAGAUAAGGAUCCUGCUGCCAUCUGCCAGAUCCUGAGGCUGCUCAAGGCAAGCCAGGGAUGAGCCAGAACUCGGCUGAGAGCAGAGGCUCCACCCUGGAGAAGCACCGCUGGAAGCACCCACACAGGAAGGACUCUCUCCAUGCCAUAGGAGCCUGCCAGGCAGGAUGGUAAGCAUUCAGGGAGAGGGGCUUGGGAAGGAGCGACAGGCUGCAAGAAAAGCACCUCCACCCUGCACCAGGCUGAGAGAUUCUUCAAUUGUCCCAGACCAGGGAGCCUCACCCAGCUUUUCUAUCUCCUUAGAAGUCUUCUCAACCUCCUCCCAAGGGUUCCAGCCUUUCCGCACCCCUCCCUCUCCUUGGGAAGUUGCUCCUAAUGUCUCACCUUGAUUCCUCUUGCUGUAGCACUAAGGAAGUACUACAGGGAAUGUGAGAGGAGAGGCUGGAGAGAGGGAAGAAAGGCAAAGUGGAAGAGAGAGCUGGAUGGGAGACUUGAGGAGAGACAGGAAUGGAGGAAUCACAUGGGCUCUCCAAGGAAGAGGACAGUGGUGAUUCUUUGCCCCCCAAAAGCACCAGAAACUGGCCAUGCUUUACGGGGUGUCAUCUCAAUAGUGGUGCCUACUCUCUGCUUGCAAAUUCUUUCUGAAUCUUCAAGGUGCUUCCAGAACUCCUGAUCUUCCCUCUGGAGGUAAGGGAGGGGAGAAAAGGCGGCUCCAGCUGAGGGUAUUGAUGCGUUAAUGCAGCCAGUGCUGAGUUGUCCUCACACACCCAUUGACACACCACACAGGGGGAAGUCCGGGUCCCCACAGCACAGCUGGAGCCUCCCGAGUGGACUCUGCCAGCCCUGCUCUCAUCAGACAGAGAAGGGCUGCAGCUAUCCUGCCGGAAAUGUCAUCAUUCCCAUGCAGGUGCACGCACCCACACACUCACAUACACAUUCACGCUCACACAAAGGCUGAAAAUGUCACCCCGCCUUCCCAAAUUCCUCCUUCAUG
rnacentral:lncRNA from 1 species